rnacentral:rRNA from 1 species
UACAAUUUAAUGGCCGCAGUACCCUGACUGUGCUAAGGUAGCGUGAUUCUUGUUUUCUUAAUUAGAAAUCUGUUCAAAGAAUGAAAUGGAGAGAAUCUAUUGUUUCUAUAGCAAGUGAAUUUAAAAUGUUAGUGAAAAUUCUGACAAGUCCUUAAAAGACGAGAAGACCCCAUAAAACUUAAUUUGAUCUCUUUCUUAAGAGUUUAAAAUUUAAAUGGGGACUUUAGAGUAUAAUAAUAACUUAAAGACCUAUAUUUAUAUUAUUAGUGAAGCUACUUUGGGGAUAACAGGGUAAAAUAUUUAGAGAGUUCAUAUCGAUAAAUAUAUCUACUAC